CUGCUCUGAAGAUUGAAGCAUGUGUGUUUCAUCUUUAGUCAGAUGUUCAGGCCUGUCUGGCAUUAUUAAAACAACAACCGAAGUCUUAAUCAAUACUCUCUGGAUUUAUAAAAGCAUGUGGAGUGAACCAAAUGAUCUGAGCAUCAGAAAUAAGUUUCAGCUCGUGUCGAAAGCGUCUUGUGGAUGUUGAGCUCUGCUUCAGUCCACACAGGUAAAGCAUCUUCAGUUCAAUCCACUGCCACUGAAUCUGUUUCACAAACUCAAGGCACACUGACAUUGACGGCUACUGUAAAUAUUCUACAAGAAUCAUAUAUUGUAAUAUUUGUUUCAUAAAGACAAUUUUAUGGUGCAAUUUGCCUAAUUUGAUUUAGUUUGAUUCACAUAUCUAAAACAGAAUUAGGUUGUUAAUGCAUUGUGUGUGUGUGUGUGUGUGUGUGUGUGUGUGUGUGUGUGUGUGUGUGUGUGUGUGUGUGUGUGUGUGUGUGUGUGUUUGGUUUGGUUUUCAUCUCUCUGGAUCUACAGUCAGUAGUUUGUGCUAUCAAUGAAUGCAUACUCCCAGAUGUAUGGUUUAUUUAAUCUCUGAGAUGAACAUAACUACCAAAACAUCAGAAUAAACUCAGAGUAAAGGUUACUUGCUUAAAAACCCUUUAGUAAAUCAUAUUUGUGACCCUGGGGUAUAUUUGUAGCAAUAGCCAAAAAUACAUUGUAUGGGUCAAAAUUAUUGAUUUUUAUUUUAUGCAAAAAAUCAUUAGGAUAUUAAGAACAUGUUCCAUGAAGAUAUUUAGUAAAUUUCCUACCGUAAAUAUAUCAAAACUUAAUUUUUGAUUAGUAAUAUGCAUUGCUAAGAACUUCAUCUGAACAACUUUAAAGAUGAUUUUCUCAAUAUUUAGAUUUUUUUGCACCCUCAGAUUCCAGAUUUUCAAAUAGUUGUAUCUCAGCCAAAUAUUGUCCUCAUAACAAACCACACAUCAAUGGAAAGGUUAUUUAUUCAGCUUUCAGACGAUGUAUAAAUCUCAAUUUCAAAAAAUUGACCCUUAUGACUGAUUUUGUGCUCCAGGGUCACAUUUGUUUUUUUGUUUUUUGUUUAUGUUUGUUCUUUAUCAAAAACGAAUGCACAUGAACCAGAUAGCACAUUAAAUUAAUGCAGAAUAUAUUCUAAAUAGACACUUCAAAAUUGUGUUAUUUUAGUGUUAAAUAACAACAAAAACUCAUAAUUAUUCAAAUGCACUUCCUUAAAUGACUCUUUCUGAAUGCACAACCUGCACAACCUGCACAACAUCUGAAAACAGCGUCUUGCUUGUACGAAGAAUACAACGAGCACGUUUGAGGUGGCUGUUGUUUGUUACGGAUGGAGUGUCCAGGAAAGCAGCCCUCUUUAACAUUUCUAUGCAAACUAGAGCUUGAAUAAUGAGAUGUAUUUAUGAAGGCGGGGGUUUGGGAUCGGUGGGGGGAGCCGGGGCCUCCAUUGGUGCAGUGCAGCUGUGAAAAGAGUGGGCUUCUUUUUCCCACGGCCAGCCAGACACAGAACAGCCAGGGUCAUGUCACACCGCUAAUAUAUACGUACAGAGAAAGAAAAAGAACAUAUCGAAGUUGUGCAAAUUAACGAGCUGUCUGACGAGACAGAGAGAGAGACAGACGGAGCUGCAGCUCAUGCAUUGCAUUUCAUUUAAUUUCGUUUGUCUGUUUCUUACAUAACGCUUCACCUUCUCGUUUGAAUUUAUGAGACAUUUUGACAGUUUUCACAUACAAACUCAUUUAUGAAACACAGGUGUUUUUAUUGUAUUGCUAUGUUAUCAUUAAAUUAUCAUUUACUGCUAUCAUUUCAUUAUUUUAUAAAAGCAAUACACCACUAGAAUCUGUGUAUUACAGUGAUUUUAACCAAAGACAAGGGCUAAAAUCAUGGUACAGCCUGUGGCUUAUUGCUUAAUAACUUACAAAAUAUUAUGUAAUAAGACUGAAUCAACAUUAGGUAACACUACAAACCCAAAUCAGGUAGAAAUAGAUAGAAACAGAAAGAAAUGGCUAUAUAUAUUAUUUUAAUUAAUAUUUAAAAUCCAUUUUAAUAUAUUAAAAGCA
ensembl:lncRNA